CUCAGCAGCUCUUUGACCAAACACACAGAGUCGAAGAUGCUGGAGUUCCGUUACCUUUUUUAUAAGACAUUCCUCUAUCUCACCUCAUCGCGUCUCCUUAAAUAAGCGCAGCGUGCACAUGAAUAAUGCGCCAUUCAGGCGACCAACUAUCAUUGACGUGAGCUCUUUGUCCGACCGACUCGAGCUGUGAUUGGCUACUGCCCUCCCGGACCACCGUCUCAAGACCACCCCUCCUGCGCGCUGAUUGGUCCGAGCCUGGUACAAAGAGAGACUGAAGACAAGGUUCCUCAAUCCUCCCAAAAACAAGGUUUCUUUGGUCUGCAGUUUUGUAAACACAGGUCUUGAUGACUUCAGCGACUGUCCGUCACUUCUAUCAGGGGCCCAGAGAGGUGUCUCGCCUGUUCUUUUUCACAGCACCCAAAACAAAAAAUCCAAUCAGAAGCAGAGACAGAGCAUCUCUAAAGAGCAUGCCUGCUUCUCAAAGCAGAUGAUCCAAAAACAGCUUCGCAAAGAAUAUAUUGCUGCUGUGGAGGAAAAACUGACAAAGUGUCCUCUAACAAUGUACCCGCACUAUAAAGAUCACAUGACUCCAGAGUUAUUUCAUAAGGUGGCGUCAAUUUUGGACCCAGAGAUGUGCGUGAAUGACGCCUCCAGACUUCCUACACCCACGGAGCACCAUGUGGCAGAGGACAAUGACAAAAACUGUAAAGAAGAAUAAGAAUAACUCCAACUGAAUGCAACAGCCAUGACGUGGACGAGCCAAGUUCCAGAAACUGUUAUUAAACAUCAACAGAAAUGCUGUCAGCCAAACUGUCCAUGGAGAUCAAUCUGGCACCCACAAGGACAUGAAGUUAAAAGAUUUAAAAGUUUCCAGCAAC